rnacentral:rRNA from 1 species
AGAGUUUGAUCAUGGCUCAGGAUGAACGCUGGCGGCGUGCUUAAUACAUGCAAGUCGAACGGGAACCUCUGGAUUCGUCUGGAGGGGAGAGUGGCGAACUGGUGAGUAACACGUAGGCGACCUGCCCCGAAGACGGGGAUAACUGCUGGAAACGGCAGCUAAUACCCGAUGUGCUCGGUAAUUCAUUUUGCCGAGUAAAGCUCCGGCGCUUCGGGAUGGGCCUGCGGCCUAUCAGCUAGUUGGUAGGGUAACGGCCUACCAAGGCGAAGACGGGUAGGGGGCGUGAGAGCGCGGUCCCCCACACUGGCACUGAGACACGGGCCAGACUCCUACGGGAGGCAGCAGUCGGGGAUAUUGCACAAUCAGCGAAAGCUGGAUGCAGCGACGCCGCGUGGGCGAUGAAGGUCUUCGGAUCGUAAACCGCUUUUCUGAGGGAAGAGAAAGGACGGUACCUCAGGAAUAAGUCUCGGCUAACUACGUGCCAGCAGCCGCGGUAAAACGUAGGAGGCAAGCGUUAUCCGGAUUUACUGGGCGUAAAGAGCGUUGAGGCGGCCGUGUAAGUUGGACGUGAAAGCUCCCGGCUUAACUCGGGGGGGUCGUUCAAUACUGCCAGACUAGAGGACGGUAGAGGAAGGUGGAAUUACCGGUGUAGUGGUGAAAUGCGUAGAUACCGGUAGGAACACCAGUGGCGAAGGCGGCCCCCUGGGCUGUUCCUGACGCUGAAUGCGAAAGCUAGGGGAGCAAACGGGAUUAGAAACCCCGGUAGUCCUAGCCGUAAACGAUGGAUACUAGGUGUAGGGGGCGAAAAAUCCUUCUGUGCCGAAGCUAACGCGUUAAGUAUCCCGCCUGGGGAGUACGGCCGCAAGGCUAAAACUCAAAGGAAUUGACGGGGACCCGCACAAGCAGCGGAGCGUGUGGUUUAAUUCGAUGCUACGCGAAGAACCUUACCAGGUCUUGACAUGCAGGUGGUAGUGAAGUGAAAGCGGAACGACCCUUCGGGGAGCCUAUACAGGUGCUGCAUGGCUGUCGUCAGCUCGUGCCGUGAGGUGUCCGGUUAAGUCCGGUAACGAGCGCAACCCUCGCUGUAUGUUAUACGUGUCAUACGGGACUGCCGGUAUAAAGCCGGAGGAAGGUGGGGACGACGUCAAGUCAGCAUGGCCUUUAUAUCCAGGGCUACACACACGCUACAAUGGUCGGUACAAUAGGUUGCAAAACCGCGAGGUGGAGCCAAUCCUCUAAAGCCGGCCUCAGUUCGGAUUGCAGGCUGCAACUCGCCUACAUGAAGCCGGAGUUGCUAGUAACCGCAGGUCAGCUAUACUGCGGUGAAUACGUUCCCGGGCCUUGUACACACCGCCCGUCACGUCAUGGGAGUCGGCAAUACCUGAAGUCGGUGUGCUAACCGGCAAGGGAGGUAGCCGUCGAAGGUGGGGCUGGUAACUGGGACGAAGUCGUAACAAGGUA